rnacentral:lncRNA from 1 species
GAAACUUAGUUAGUGUAACCAGUAGAGAAGCUUGGGUUGGUGCUUGAGCUGCCUUCUUCCUCCAUUCCUCAGCCUCCAAAGAUCUUACAGACUUUCUUCUCUGCGGCAACCUCAUUUUGGGGGUCAUUGUCCCAAAGAGAGGAGGAAAAUCAGUCAAGAGGAUAGAGAGGGAUGAGAGAUGGAUGGAAAUGAAGAGAAAAGGAGGGUUUUGGGUUGAUUGUCACAGAUUUUGUAAGUUAGGGCUUGAGAUUUUGAUGGAGAGCAAGAGAAUAUGCCGAGACAGAGAGAGUUUGCUCUAGGGUUUGAGAUGGAGAUCCAAGAUUUUGAGUGAUUAAUGGGAUGGAUUUGCGACCGGUGGAG